rnacentral:rRNA from 1 species
UGGGGAAUAUUGCACAAUGGGCGCAAGCCUGAUGCAGCCAUGCCGCGGGUAUGAAGAACGCCUUCGGGUUGUAAAGUAUUUUCAGUGGGGAGGAAGGUGUCAAGGUUAAUAACCUUGGCAAUUGACGUUACCGACAGAAGAAGCACCGGCUAACUCCGUGCCAGCAGCCGCGGUAAUACGGAGGGUGCAAGCGUUAAUCGGAAUUACUGGGCGUAAAGCGCAGGCAGGCGGUUGAUUGAGUAAGAUGUGAAAUCCCCGGGCUUAACCCGGGAAUAGCAUCUGGUACUGGUCAGCUAGAGUCUUGUAGGGGGGGGUAGGAUUCCAUGUGUAGCGGUGAAAUGCGUAGAGAUGUGGAGGAAUACCGGUGGCGAAGGAGGCCCGCUGGACAAAGACUGACGCUCAGGAGGGAAAGCGUGGGGGGCAAACAGG